UCAGUGAACCUUUCUUUGAGUAACUUCUGAAAGAAUGCGCCUUUUUGCACUUUGGGGAAAAUCUGAACUCUGAGGAAAAGGGAGGAAGAUGGAGCAAAUUGCCAAUGUGACGUGUUGGAAGAGUACAGUUUGAAAAGUUCUGGGACGAAGAGGACUCUUCUCUCUCAUUCUUUGAUUUUAAUAACAAGUGAAGAAGAUCCUCAAAGUAUUGUGAGUAAAGACGAGGAUUUCUCCUCCUAUCCAGGGCCUGUCAUGGAUGAAGAGACCCAGCACAGCCUUGAAUGCAUCCAGGCUAAUCAGAUUUUUCCCAGGAAGCAGCUGAUCCGAGAGGAUGAGAACCUUCAGGUCCCGUUCAUUGAACUUCACGGCGAGAGUACGGAGUACGUAGGACGAGCAGAGGAUGCCAUCAUUGCACUUUCUAAUUACAGGCUUCACAUCAAAUUCAAGGAGUCUGUUGUGAA